UGGCCCAUCCCCUUCUCCGGUAGCAGCCUCACUUAUGUAACACGUGGGUUGGGUUUGUUUUGCCAAGACGGGAACCUCCCUGCAAGCAGGCACCCCGGCACACACAGGGAGCAGCAGGGCGAACAGGCCUGGCUCCAGGAUGCCUGCAGGAGGGCGCCUUCCAGUUCACAUGCAGCUCCGCCUCCUUGGGCCUUGUUAAGGGAAGUAACUGUUGCGCUGUAAUGUACGGAAAAGCCACUGUCCUUAGCGUACCCUUGAGUUCUGGUAAUCAUUACCAAAUGAGGAGAAAAGGGCGAUGCCAUCGAGGCUCUGCAGCGAGGCACUCUUCCUCCCCGUGCAGUAUUAAACGCUCCCCUGCGCGAGAAACGCUGACGUACGCCCAGGCUCAGAGGAUGGUCGAGAUAGAGAUUGAGGGGCGCUUACAUAGGAUCAGUAUCUUUGACCCCUUGGAGAUCAUAUUAGAAGAUGACCUCACCGCUCAAGAAAUGAGCGAAUGCAACAGCAAUAAGGAAAAUAGCGAGAGGCCACCCGUUUGCUUAAGAACUAAACGGCACAAAAACAACAGAGUCAAAAAGAAAAAUGAAGCUCUCCCCAGCGCCCACGGCACACCGGCCUCCGCCAGUGCCCUUCCUGAGCCCAAGGUGCGGGUCGUGGAGUACAGCCCCCCGUCUGCCCCCAGGAGGCCCCCCGUGUACUACAAGUUCAUCGAGAAGUCGGCAGAGGAGCUGGACAAGGAGGUGGAGUAUGACAUGGACGAGGAGGACUACGCCUGGCUGGAGAUCGUCAACGAGAAGCGCAAGGGCGACUGUGUCCCCGCUGUGUCGCAGAGCACGUUUGAGUUCCUCAUGGACCGCUUCGAGAAGGAGUCGCACUGCGAGAACCAGAAGCAGGGCGAGCAGCAGUCCCUGAUUGACGAGGACGCCGUGUGCUGCGUCUGCAUGGACGGGGAGUGCCAGAACAGCAACGCCAUCCUCUUCUGCGACCUGUGCAACCUGGCCGUGCACCAGGAGUGCUACGGCGUGCCCUAUAUCCCCGAGGGCCAGUGGCUCUGCCGGCACUGCCUGCAGUCCCGCGCUCGGCCUGCCGACUGCGUGCUGUGCCCCAACAAGGGCGGGGCCUUCAAGAAGACGGACGACGACCGCUGGGGCCAUGUGGUGUGCGCCCUGUGGAUCCCAGAGGUUGGCUUCGCCAACACGGUGUUCAUCGAACCCAUCGACGGUGUGAGGAACAUCCCGCCCGCCCGCUGGAAACUCACCUGCUACCUCUGCAAGCAGAAGGGCGUGGGCGCCUGCAUCCAGUGCCACAAGGCGAACUGCUACACAGCAUUCCAUGUGACCUGUGCCCAGAAAGCCGGCCUCUACAUGAAGAUGGAGCCCGUGAAGGAGCUGACUGGUGGGGGCACCACCUUCUCUGUCAGAAAGACCGCCUACUGUGACGUCCACACGCCUCCAGGCUGCACACGGAGGCCUCUCAACAUUUACGGGGAUGUCGAGAUGAAAAACGGUGUCUGUCGGAAAGAGAGCUCAGCCAAAACGGUCAGGUGCACAUCCAAGGUCAGAAAGAAAGCUGCGAAGAAGGCCAAGAAAACGCCGGCCGAGCCCUGCGCGGCCCUGCCCACUGUGUGCGCGCCUUACAUCCCCCCUCAGAGAUUAAACCGGAUCGCCAAUCAGGUGGCCGUGCAGCGGAAGAAGCAGUUCGUGGAGCGAGCGCACAGCUACUGGCUCCUGAAGCGGCUGUCACGGAAUGGCGCGCCCCUGCUGCGGCGGCUCCAGUCCAGCCUGCAGUCCCAGAGAAGCUCGCAGCAGAGAGAGAACGACGAAGAGGUGAAGGCUGCCAAGGAGAAGCUGCAGUACUGGCAGCGGCUGCGGCAUGACCUGGAGCGUGCCCGCCUGCUCAUCGAGCUGCUGCGCAAGCGCGAGAAGCUCAAGCGUGAGCAGGUGAAGGUGGAGCAGAUGGCCAUGGAGCUGCGGCUGACCCCACUGGCUGUGCUGCUGCGCUCCGUCCUCGACCAGCUGCAGGAGAAGGACCCAGCCAGGAUAUUUGCGCAGCCUGUGAGUCUGAAAGAGGUGCCGGAUUACUUGGAUCACAUUAAACACCCCAUGGACUUUGCCACAAUGAGGAAGCGGUUGGAAGCUCAAGGGUAUAAAAACCUCCAUGAGUUUGAGGAGGACUUCGACCUCAUCGUGGAUAACUGCAUGAGGUACAACGCCAAGGACACCGUGUUCUACAGGGCCGCCGUGCGGCUGCGUGAUCAGGGCGGCGUCGUUCUCAGGCAGGCCCGACGCCAGGUGGACAGCAUCGGCCUGGAGGAGGCCUCGGGGAUGCACCUACCCGAGCGGCCCGCUGCCGCCCCACGGCGGCCUUUCUCUUGGGAAGACGUGGACAGGUUGCUGGACCCGGCCAACAGAGCCCACCUGGGCCUGGAGGAGCAGCUGCGUGAGCUGCUGGAGAAGCUUGACCUCACCUAUGCCAUGAAGUCCAGCGGCUCCCGGAGUAAACGGGCCAAACUGCUGAGGAAGGAGAUCGCCCUCCUCCGGAACAAGCUGAGCCAGCAGCACAGCCAGCCCCCGGCCGCGGGGUCAGGUACUGGAGGCUUGGAAGAGGACAGUGCUCCGCUGGGGCUCGAGGCACCUGAGGAAGGAGAUAAAUCUCCCCCUAAACUUGAACCAUCAGAUGCAUUACCUCUUCCUUCAGACUCGGAGACUAAUUCAGAGCCACCAACCCUCAGACCAGUAGAGCUCGGCCCCGAGCAGAGUAAACUGCCCAAAAGAGUCACAUUUGGUAAUGAGUCACAUAGCACUUGCACUCAGAGCGCCCUGGUGAGCGGACACCCUGCAGAGCCCACCCUCGCCAGUGGUGGCGCUGCGCCGGCGGCGGCCUCCGCGGGGGCGGAGCCAUCAAGCGAUGUAAACAGACGCACUUCUGUUCUCUUCUGCAAAUCGAAAAGUUCCUUCCGAGGUUGGAGACUCUUCUGCAGCCACGGAAAAGGUCGCGGAGCACGUGUGGAGACUCCGAGGCGGAGGAGGAGUCCCCGGGAAAGCGCCUGGACACAGAAUGGCAGUAGAUGUCAGUGGAUGCAUGGCCAGCUCCUCAGCGCUUUCCCGCGCAGCCUGGGAGCCUUAGUAGCCCUAAGAUCAGCCCGCUGCUGCUGCUGUCGCUGCCCCUGCCAGGGCGGGGCUGGCGUGGUCAGGCCACCCCUGUCCUUACCUCCCAGUCUGGCUCCGCCCUCGCCUGAACUCUGGUGCUCUCUGCACGCCUGGGACUCCCGCUCCACGUAGCAGCUCUUCGCAGUCCGAGGACUGGAGUGCUCCACCUUCCACCCGAUUUUCCCAGAGAUCCGUCUGUGCUCUGAACCCAUAGGGGCUGUCUGGUGUCCUCCUGCGACUGCAAGAUUCCAGAGUAGAUUCAGACGGUUUGCUCGCUUCGAGACGGCUCUCCUGUAGGGCCUCCUGCUGCAGCACGUGUCGCGUGCCUGUUGCCUGGAAUACAGCUCAGGCUCUGCCUCGUGGACAUCACAUUCCCAUCGCCAGCCUGGCUUGCAGCCUCCUUCCGCUGUGGCUUUUCUCUUCUGACGACAGAACGCCAGGCGGACUCCUGGCUGCUCGCCUCUCCCUCAGUCCUGCCGCGGGGCUCUCGCACGUGGGGUGGCGUGAGAGCUGGGGUGACGGGCCGUGACUCUCUCAGGCAGGCCAGACGGCCUCUCACGCUCCCGCAGGCUCUUGCUCUCCCUGCCGUGGGCAACUCGCUCUUUGGAUCCUACUUCUCUCUGACCUCAGCUCGGGUUUGAGUCUGCCGAGCGGCUGCGUCACACAGACCCCAUGUCCUUGCGUUUCGCUUUGUUCUGACUCACGCUGGAACAGUCAGAAGCACAGACCCCCGCUGUGGACAGCCUGCCCCCAGCUGGCCCGCCUCUCAGACUCAGAGCCCUCGGUGGGGCUGGGGGUGGUGCGUGGGCAGCCCGGCGUUCUGGAGCUGGUGGGGCAUCACAGCGGCCUGUGGCCUCCCUCUGCGGAUGGUCAGAGGUUGUGGGGGCCACCGUCGGGAUGCACCCUGGUGCAGAUGACACAGCUGGACAGACACCCCAAGUCCCAGCGCGACCGCGGAUUGAUCAGGGCAGCCGGGACUCUGCACGAUGUGCCCGUGCUGUGCUGGGGCCUCUGGAGGAGCUCGGCACCUGGCCCGGCCCAGUCCUGGCAUGGACAGCACCCCUCGCUCCUUGCUCGCGACUGUACUCCGGCCUCCCCGUCCUCGUCCCUUCCCGACGUCCUUUCCUUCCUGCCCCCUGGGGACCCUGGGGGUGACCGCAUGGUCCCGUCACUCUCCCUGCUCACCUUGCCGUGCACCUGCGAGGCAGCCUGCCCACUGCGUGGGUGUCCCUCCAGGGGCCAUGAGGGCUUGCCUUGGGCCAAUGUCUUCCCAGAGCCUGUCUCUGUGCCAGCAGGUCUCGCCAAUGGCUUUGGGGGUGCGAGGAGCGAGCAGGACCUGGGCAGCGGCCCGGGCAGGAGAGCCCCGCCUCGCCGGCGCUGCGCCUCUGAGUCCAGCAUCUCCUCCA